UAAUACGGAGGGUGCAAGCGUUAAUCGGAAUUACUGGGCGUAAAGCGUGCGUAGGUGGUUUGUUAAGUUAGAUGUGAAAGCCCUGGGCUCAACCUAGGAACUGCAUUUAAAACUGGCAAACUAGAGUAUAGGAGAGGAAAGUGGAAUUUCAGGUGUAGCGGUGAAAUGCGUAGAUAUCUGAAGGAACAUCAAUGGCGAGGGCAGCUUUCUGGACUAAUACUGACACUGAGGUACGAAAGCGUGGGUAGCAAACAGGAUUAGAUACCCUGGUAGUCCACGCCGUAAACGAUGACAACUAGCCGUUGGGAGGAUUUACCUCUUAGUGGCGAAGCUAACGCGUUAAGUUGUCCGCCUGGGGAGUACGGCCGCAAGGUUA
rnacentral:rRNA from 1 species